UACGUAGGGAGCAAGCGUUGUCCGGAAUCAUUGGGCGUAAAGAGCGCGUAGGCGGCCCUGUAAGUCCGUUCUGAAAGUCGGAGGCUCAACCUCCGAAAGCGGAUGGAUACUGCAGGGCUAGAGUCCGGAAGAGGCGAGUGGAAUUCCUGGUGUAGCGGUGGAAUGCGCAGAUAUCAGGAGGAACACCAACGGCGAAGGCAGCUCGCUGGGACGGUACUGACGCUGAGGCGCGAAAGCGUGGGUAGCAAACAGG
rnacentral:rRNA from 1 species